rnacentral:rRNA from 1 species
UACGUAGGGUGCGAGCGUUGUCCGGAAUUAUUGGGCGUAAAGGGCUCGUAGGCGGUUUGUCGCGUCGGGAGUGAAAACUCAGGGCUUAACCCUGAGCCUGCUUCCGAUACGGGCAGACUAGAGGUAUGCAGGGGAGAACGGAAUUCCUGGUGUAGCGGUGAAAUGCGCAGAUAUCAGGAAGAACACCCGUGGCGAAAGCGGCUCUCUGGAACGGUACUGACGCUGAGACGCGAAAGCCAGGGGAGCAAACGGG